UAUUUUAAUAUUUGGUGAUAAAUUGUGUUUUUGCUCAAACUGAUAUACUAGUAUGUAUGUAUGUAUGCAUGCAUGCAUGUGUGCAUCCCUUUCACAACUACAUACUAAAGUUCAAAGUUUAUUGGGUCAAUAGCUGCUGCAGUGCAUAAAUGUUGAAUGUAUUUAAAGAAACAGAAUCAUUGCAAAGCAAAGGGUUGGUUGAUUUAUUUAAUUGCUGUGAGAAAGCUCUAAAUACAAAUCUCGUAAGUUUGUGCUUCUAGGACUCACAUAUGUAUGUUUGUAUGGAUGUACAUACUAUACAUAGCAUUCAAAUUUUUCUCUCGCACCGGGAGUUCGUGCAACAUAUGCGGCCAACAGAACUUAACUCACCCGAAAAUAAAUUUAAAUCCGCUAAACGAUCGGCACUAAAUAUGUAUGUAUUGUAUUAUCUGUACGCAGCUAAAUUUGCAUAUCUAUGCACAUCUAUACUUUUACUGCUUACUGACAGCCAUUUGCUUAUCCACAUACUAAAAGUACAGUACAUAUGGCAAUUUAUUUUUAAUGUGUUACCAUGGGUAGGUACACAACAUUUGCUUAUUUAUUUUUUAUUUCUUUUGUUUUUGAGUAUUUAUCGAUGCACCUACAGCACAGUGGAAAUCAAUUUACUUUUAAUUGGCCUCCGCGUUUGCUCGCAAUCCAACUGAUUGCUUCGAACUUCGUCGCACUCGUAUUCGCGUUGGGCUUUUGCCUUGCAUUGCUUUGGCUUGAUGGCGCUUUCACAAACUGCAAAUUCUCAGUUUUACUGGCAGUUGCGGUCGAUUAAGUUUUGAAAAUUUUCGUUAAUUUUAAUUUAAACUAUUGACUAUGUGUGCUCGUUUGUAAUUGACAAGUGAAAUAUUGAAACAAAAACGAAAACAAUUAUUUUUAAAACACCGCAGCAUGAGGCAAUGAGCUGCCUUUUAUGGGCUGUAUCAGCCGGGCGGAUACAAUUUUUGAUUUAACACAAAUAACAACAAUACUGCGAGGCUGUUGAACUCUUUUGCUGGCAAUAACCUUAAAUUGGAGUUACUCGCCAUCAGCAUCAAAUACUCGUAGACAGAUAACACAUGAUUUUUCAGGAAAUUGGCUGAUUAAUCAUGAGUCGUCCUUCACAGCAACGCACAAUGCAGCAGCCAAAGGCGCCGAAGCAACACCUGACAGAGCAGGAGGCCAUCGCCGCCUCCGAGCUCUUCGAUCUCUUUUGUGUCGCAACGACAAUGCGACAGAUUUUAGGUUUACAUCGUGACAUGUGCGACAUACUCGGCUUGCGCUCAGCCCCGAUCAACGAAUUCUAUCCCAUGUUGAAAGCGAAAAUUCGUUCGUGGAAAGCGCAGGCGCUAUGGAAAAAAUUCGAUGCACGAGCGGCUCAUCGUGUAUAUGCGAAAGGAACAGCGUGCAAUGGUACGCAUGUGCUAGUCAUUGGCGCAGGCCCAUGUGGUCUGCGCACCGCCAUUGAGGCGCAAUUAUUGGGUGCUAAAGUUGUUGUGCUGGAGAAACGCGAUCGAAUCACACGCAACAAUGUGUUGCACUUGUGGCCGUUCGUGAUCACCGAUCUACGUAAUUUAGGCGCAAAGAAGUUCUAUGGGAAAUUUUGUGCUGGUUCUAUAGAUCACAUAUCUAUUAGACAGUUGCAAAUAAUUUUGAUGAAAGUGGCGCUGCUAUUGGGAGUCGAAAUACACGAGAAUGUGUCCUUUGAGCGGACAAUUGAGCCGAGUGGUGAUGGAUUUGGUUGGCGUGCGGCUGUAACGCCAGCGGAUCAUGUAGUUUCAUACUAUGAAUUCGAUGUUUUAAUCGGAGCCGAUGGUAAACGCAACACACUGGAAGGCUUUAAACGAAAAGAGUUUCGUGGAAAGCUUGCUAUUGCAAUUACGGCCAAUUUUAUAAAUAAGAAAACCGAGGCGGAGGCUAAAGCGGAGGAGAUAAGUGGUGUGGCUUUUAUAUUUAAUCAGUCAUUCUUCAAGGAGCUUUACGAGAAAACGGGUAUAGAUUUGGAGAAUAUCGUAUACUACAAAGACGAAACACAUUACUUUGUUAUGACUGCGAAGAAGCACAGCCUCAUCGACAAGGGUGUGAUUUUACAGGAUUUCUCCGAUCCUGCGGAAUUGCUCGCGCCAGCCAACGUUAGCGCCGACAAGCUGCUCGAUUAUGCACGCGAAGCGGCCGAAUUCUCCACAAAGUACCAAAUGCCAAAUCUUGAGUUCGCUGUUAAUCACUAUGGCAAACCGGACGUGGCCAUGUUUGAUUUCACAUCCAUGUUCGCCGCGGAGGCGUCAUGCCGUGUGAUUGUGCGCCACGGUUAUCGUUUGUUACAGUGUUUAGUGGGUGAUAGCUUGCUGGAGCCUUUCUGGCCCACUGGAUCGGGUUGUGCGCGCGGCUUUCUCUCUAGCAUGGAUGCCGCAUAUGCAACCAAAUUGUGGUCGAAUACACGUAACAGUAUUCUGGGUGUUGUGGCGCAACGUGAAAGUAUUUAUAGGCUCCUCAACCAGACCACGCCUGAAAAUUUACAGCGUGACACAGGCUCCUAUACUGUUGACCCAGCCUCAAGAUAUCCAAAUCUAAAUCGCACCGCUGUGAACCCGUUUCAAGUGAAAACCCUCGUGGACUCGGAUGAUCCGAAGAUAUUGGAGCAACCGAUUGCCGAAAUUGUCACAACACCAGCGUUGGCUGAGGCGUCAACGGUGUUGCGUAAGCCGCGUCGUAGUGCAGACAUUGUGCCUGAAGCUUUACUACAUUGGGUUUGUACACAACUACAUUUGUACGAUUUUGUUAAGGACAUAAAGGAGCCUGCCGACAUACUUAAGAAUGGAAAAUCACUCUGCGCCUUAAUUAGCCGUUUUCGGCCGGAUUUAAUUGACUAUGCAGCAACACGCGACUUAACCUCUGCUGAACGUAACUCAUUAGCAUUCAGGAUAUUGGAAGCCGAGUAUCAAACACCACGUAUUAUGACCGGCGAGAAGUCUAUGGAUUUAGAGAAGGUAGAUACGCGACUGUGGUUGCAUUAUUUAAAUCAAGUCCGCGAGGUGUUCCGAGGUGAAGUGCCGUAUUUAAAACAUCCCAAAAUGGACAUCACAGAAUUGCGCGAAAAGUAUCGUCUCAACAACGCGCAUGCGCAGCCAGACUUUUCGAAAUUGUUGCAACUCUCAACCAAGCCAAAAUAUCCGAAAGCCAAGAGUCCCAUCGAAGAUAUGGUUGAUGUGCCGCAAGUGGUGCAACGUCGUUCGGUAUUGGACGAGGAGCGUGUGAAACGUAUACGCAGGCAUGAGCCAGGCGCCGGCGGUCAGACCGCUGCGGGCAACUCACCACUACAAGGUCAAACUGAUACACCACGUCGUGCCAAAAAGAGGAGAAACGCCGAGAAGGCUGCAAAUAUUGAGGAACGUCAAAAGCGACUACAAGAAAUCGAAGAAAAUCGCCAGGACCGUCUAAGCAAACGUCGUCAACAACGGUACCAACAGACGCAGAAUUUUUACAAAAGCUUGCAAAUGUUGCAAGCCAACACGUUGCUGCGAGAAACCGAUGAUCCGACAGCAUUUGAGGACUACUCACUGUUCGUAUAUCGCCAACAAGCACCGGAAUUCAACGAUCGCGUAAAGGAUUUGGAGCGCAAAUUGCUGUUUCCUGAUCGCAAUCGGGGCGAUAUACCUUCAUCUAUGCCAAGGAAUAAUCCCGAUGAACAGUUUACCGAUCGUAUCAAAUCCAUGGAGCAACGUAUAAGCUCGAAAAACGCUUAUGGCACCGAUAAGAAGCCCAAGGACUUGAUGCGUGCUAUCGGGAAGAUCGACAGCACCGAUUGGAAUGUGCGCGAAAUCGAAAAGAAAAUCGAACAAUCAAAGCGAACAGAAAUACACGGCCCUAAAGGACGUGAGAAAGUGCCGAAAUGGAGUAAAGAGCAAUUUUUGGCUAGACAAAAUAAAAUGGCGAAACCGACACGCCAAGAAUCAGUGGAGGAGAAAUUCAAAGAGAUCGAUCAAACGUUGAAGAAUUUGGAUAAACAAUUGAAGGAGGGCUCAAUACUUGAAGUUGGAGAACGUGGCCGCAAUAAGGUCGCAUCGAUUGCUGGGCAAUUCGUGAAGAAAGAUGAUAAACCAAGCGACGAAAAGAAUCCUACCCCCACCACUGGCAAUGUAGUGCCGAAAUCAAGCGCUAAGGUUGCAUUAGCCUUCAAGAAACAAGCGGCUUCCGAAAAAUGCCACUUCUGCAAGCAAAUCGUUUACUUAAUGGAAAAAAUCACCGCUGAAGAUCUUGUAUUUCAUCGUUCGUGUCUAAAGUGUCAUCAUUGUCACACAAACUUACGUCUAGGCGGCUAUGCGUUCGAUCGAGAUGAUCCGAAUGGACGCUUCUACUGCACACAACACUACAGGCUACCCGCGAAGGCUAUACGCCCUGUAUUGCGGAAGCCUGGACAAAGGAAACCAACACAGCAACAGCAAGCCGCCGCAGCAGUAGCUGCAGCUUCAGAUGUUGCCGUUACAGCGGAUGCUGCAAGUGUUGGCGUCUCUCCUGUGGAUAUGCUCAAAACACCUGAUAAGUUGCGCGGUCCCGCCGACAGCGUUGUACAACUUGAUUUGUUGGAUCGUGGUCAAACACCAGAGCGUAUCGAAUUCGAAAAUACCGAUGCCAUGUCUGAUGGCGAGCCUUCGGAGGAGCAUAUACUCGACGAGCAUGAAUGGUCAGGUCGGAAUUUCUUACCUGAAUCGAAUCAAGAUUCUGAGUCGGAUCUAUCUAGUUCUGAUGACUCGGACACUGAAUCUGAUGCUGAUAUGUUCGAAGAGGCAAAUGACUCACCUUUGGGGGCACAAACUUUACAGUUGGCCACCGACUGGAUUGGCAAGCAACACUACUCCGAUAGUGAUGAUUCAGAUGACUUUUACGAUUCGAGUGAAGGCAUUGCGGAUGAUGAUGGUAAAGACGAUACGGAAGGGGAGGAUUUCAAGAAGGCUCGUGAACUGCGUAGAGAAGAAGUGCGUCUACUGCCACUGCCCGCUAAUUUACCCACUGAUACCGAGACUGAGGUUAAACUACCAGAUGAAAAUAAUGACAACAAAGAAAAUGUGGAAAUUAUUGAAUUAGGUAAUAAAGUUCUUGAAAAGUCAGAGUCAAAUCAAAAUCUUAAGCCAGAGAUAGAUAAGUCCUCCGAAAAGUCAUACAAUUCAGAUAAGUCGUUCAAAUCGGCCGCUUCGACAAAUGCCCAAUUUUCCGUCCCGCCACCUACUAAAGCUGACAUAGAGAAAUUAGAGCAAAUUACUGGGCGCCGAUUCAGCGCUGAAAUUGAGGCAAUCAAUGAAAAAUUGCAUCGUCUCAACAGCGUUGUGAAAAUGAGCAGAGAUCUUGAAACUAUAGCAAAAGAAAAUUUAGUAAAGAGCGACAUACUCAAAAAAUUGACUAUGAAAGAAAAAUGGUUAUCGGACAGUUCUGUUGGCAACUCGAAUCCAUUAGCACCCAAAUCGACAUUUGAAAACCGUUUUACACCAAAACAAGAUGCCUUAAAAGAGCAGCAAAAUAAUGCAGAAGAUGUCGAGGUAAAUGUGAAUGGCGUUGAAGCAAAAGUUCAAAAACCUGCUGCUAAUUCAGUUGAAACGAUUUUAAAUAAUAUAAAAACCGAAAUUAAAUCUGAAACUAACAGCAAUGCGGCCAAAAGUGAUAUUCAAACACCUAUUGUAACACCCUUAUCACAUAAAGCUACUUCACCGGAGGAGGUAUUGGAGAGUUUAAAAGCAGAGAUUAAGACUGCUUCCCUCAAUCGUACGGGUAGCCUUAAAAGGCAACAACUUAGUCCAACUGCCAGUCCUGGUGCUAGUAAAAAGCCCAGUGCAAGUAACAGUCGUUCCAACAGUUUCAAAAAUAAGACUUCAGCCAUUUCCAAAGACCCAAACAAAAGCGGCGAAAUCAGUCGCACAAACAGUCUAAAGCGUUCCGAGAAAUUUACCUCAAAGGAUGAAGUAAUUGGAAAUGAUAGUCGCAUGCAAAUACAAAAUAUACUGGGCCUAGUGAAGAGUGUCGAUAAUAAGAGUGAACAAGACUCAAGUAAAGAUAAACCUAUUGGCGCUAAUAAGUCAAAUUCAGAUAUCGGUAAAUUGCUUUAUGAUGCAGAGAGUAAAUUCUCACCGAAGGUCGAUAGGCGCUUGAUGCAGGAGAAAUUGAAAGAGAUCGAGACAAAGAGCUUUUCGGGCACAAUGGACGCCAUAAAAUCACAAAUGGUUGUGCCAACAAUUAGUUCGCAAGCAAAUCCAUCUGUCGAUCUGUCCAAAUACUUUCCAGACCAGAAACAACAGAAAUCGAAUGCCAUUUCGGUUAAUAAAAACCAGAAGAAUCUAAAAGAUGUUGAUUUAGGCAAAUAUUUCCCUAGCAGUCCCACACCCCCACGUCGCAGUGCCGUAGUCACUGUGGCAGAUAAGUUGAAGAAAUCGCAAACGGAAAACGCUAUUGCGCCUGCCGCAGUUGCAUCCACAGAUGCAAGUGCUUCUAUUAGCAGUAUGACAAAUAAGGGAAAUGGAAAAAAAUCUCCGGCGAUUGGGCCCAGACGCCAAGCUUCACUAGGAAAUGCUGCAUUUAGUUUGCGUGAUCAUCAAUUGGACGGCGCGGUUGAUUUGACGAAGAAGAAGACGCCUAUUCUGGUCAGUAAAAGUGAAGUGGUCAAAAAUGGUCAAACGGCGGUCAAGACCACAGCAGCAACGGCGACACUGACGAAGAAGGGUAACGUUAAGAUCGUCAAGAAAAUUGUGCCUAAAAAGAAGGUGGUGACCUCGACAAAGAAAAACCACGGCACACAAGAUCACAAAUCUAUCGUUCCACGUGAUGAAUCAGAUCGUGUUCUGGAUGAAAUUCUGCAAUCGACCGAUCAGGAAAUGCAUUCGCCAAGCGCUGAGUACCUACAGCUGUUCAAGGAAGAAAAAUCACCUAGUGAAGAUAUAUCAGAUAAAGUUGAGCAAAUAUUCCAAGAAACUGGGAUCGAUUUGGGCACACCCCAGCAGUCGCUCAACGAAAAUAAAAGGAGAUUAUUGAAAACCAAAUCACUGGGGGAGGGUGAAUUCGAACGCUACCCGAAGGAGCAAAGUUUGCAGUACGAUGAACAAGAAACUAAAGAAGAUGGCGAUCGACCAAUUGGUGUGCAAGGGUUGCUUGCACGUUUUGAAUCAAUGAGUUCUAUCAAAUCCUCGGAACAAUCGUUCAAACUGCGUCGGAUGGAAUCUACCACUAGCAAUUUAAAUAAGUCGCGUGAGUCACUCAUUUCCCAUGAUUCUAUAAUUUCGCAUGAAUCAGACUCAUUGAGUGAUCUAGAGAAGACCAUGGAAUAUUUAAGAUCAGAAUGGCGCAAUGAGGCAACCAACUUUCUGCAAAAGAAACGAGAUAAUUUCUUUUCAAAGAAACGAGCCAUUGAAGAGGAAGAGGCAGCUGCUAUAGCGGAGGCUAUGAAGAAAACGAAAUACGAUGAUUUGCCAGUGCAAUAUCGUGAAUCAAAAUUCGCCAAGUUUUUCGGCAUUAAAACCAAAUCUCCCGAAAAACUGAAAGCGCCAACAAAAAAGAAAUCGCCGGAGAAAAAAAGUGUUACAACUACGCCAAUGAAAAAAGUAGUGAAAAAUGGUGCAACGGCGAAGAAGUCACCAUCGCCAGUUAAGGACCUGAAUAAAGCAUCUGAAAUGAAAACGAAAACAUCGUCUAAUUUGCAACUUAAUGCGAAGGAUACUAAACAAAAGUCUCCUUCGCCAAUAAAAAAUCAGAAUAAAACUCUUGACAAUCUAGAGAAUACCACAAAAGGAGCUCCAAAGCAAACAAAAAUUACAAAGAAGGCAAUAUCUCCACCUAAAAAUCAAAUGGAGGACUUCGAGAUGAACUUAUUAGUGGAGAAAGGUAGUAAAACGAACACAGCGCGCCAAUUGUCACCGAAUAAUGCCCCAAAUAUUAUUGAAGAUGCAGCACCUAUCGAGUCAAAGAACAACGCAGACAUCACUUCGAAUGAGCCCAGUCCAAUGACCGAUACUGCUACUACACCAACUACGCAGUCCAAAACAUUGUCACGACAAAACUCUGACAACUUAGAUAUUCAAGCACCGCUAACUCCACCUUUGAAAAAGCGUCCGCUGGUUGAAGACAUACGAAAUUUACCGAAAACCGGUUGCGACAAAUCGCUAAGUAAUUCACGACGUAAUUCCCAAACCAGCUUACAUUCACGCCGUUGCUCAGAUGCCUCUCUGCAGGAUAAGCUAGACAGCGACGUUGCAAAGUUAACGAAAAGUUCGUCAAAGGAAUCAAAUAGAAAUGUAGAUGAACUGUUCCAAAAUAUUGUAGAACGUUUGGCAAGUAAAAAUAUAGAGCGCAAUCCUAGUGCGGAAGAGGAGUGUGACUCGCUCUGCACAUCUAUUAGCAAAAGUCCUAGUGUUGCACCGACCACAGUGCGCAUGCGUGGCUCCUCAGAGGAUGAAAGCAUUGAAAAGUUGUUCAGUCAGUUCUCUGACGAAAUGCUUGUAAAUGUGGAAUUUGAUUCAAAUGAUGAGAUAGUGGCCAUUACACCACGCCUGCCACUGGAAAGUCAAACCGAGGAGGAUAACGAUUUUGUCGAUAGACUUGAGUCAUUGGAAAAGGACGAAGUUUCUGCUGCUGACUUUGCGCCAGUUAAAAUUGAAAAAGUGUGUUCUGAAAGCGCCCAAAGUGAGAGUAAAACUGAUAAUGAGCACAAAAAUAUAAAAUCAGCGGAGACGCAAGGCUUGCAUGAAUCUGGAGCUGUUCAAAAACCUUUCACCAGUGCCCCUGCUGCCAGAGCUGGACCACUAACACUGGAAAGUAUACAAUCAAUGCUCUAUAUGGAUCCAAAAGAAACACCUUUCCCAGUCCGACCGCAACGCAGACAAAAAAGCACCUCAUCUUCUAGCGAAGCAUCGGCACCCAUUGCACCACAACGCAUUAAACAUAAAUUAGCAAAAUUAUGCCCCGAUAAUAUGCCACCAUCGGUGCAGGAUUUGAUGCAAACAGCAUUCACAAAAAGUUUGACCGCCGAACUUGCAGCAAAUGGUGGCAUUUCAUUACAUAAAUUCCCACGCAACAUAUCCGAAGAUGAAUUGGAAGAUGCGAAGUUGGAGGAAAAUAUAGAGUGUAAGGAAAAGGAACGGAAAGGAAAUCAAUAUCAAAAUAAGUCCACGACAGUAAUGAAUGUAAACCCAGUUAUUGAAAAAGAGAACAUUGUACAGAGGGCACAAACUUCUUCUGAUAAUGAGCUACAAUUUGCAAUCAGUAAAAAUUGGAAAAGUAUGAACGAUGAAGAGAUUACUGCUGUGCAGAGUAGUGAAAAUUUUGAGAUCCAUAAACCUUCUAAUGCUGAACAUAUGUCGCCACAGUCAUCAGUGGACCAAAUUACUAACAAUAAUAAUUCUUCCAUGCAGCAAAAUUUAUCACAGCCGUUGAAUGCAAACGGUUCUCCAGUAGAAGUGUGCACAUCUGCUAAACGAAAGCUUCCACAAGCACUAAUUUGCGAAGUUUAUACUCCUUCCAGAGAACCUUCUGGCACUGUGGUAUCCAGUAAUGACUUAAAUACUUUAGUCAAAGAGCCUGCAGCCGUAGGUCGAAAACAUUCAGAAGCUUCAGUUGAUGCAACAAGGAGCUCUCUGUUAGGAUCUCCAGUAGCGCAGCGAAAGUUUUCACAAACCUCAAUAAAUGAGAAAAUAGCUCUAGCUCAGGAAUCUUCUAAUGCGGUACGAAGACCAUCACAAGCAUCUAUCAAGGAACAACUUACCACACCCACAGACACUCCAUUAUUACAACGUAAAAUGUCCCAAACCUCAAUCCCCGACAAAUCUUUAACUACCAAUGAGUCGCCAGUUAUGCCGCGAAAGUUAUCGCAAGUUUCGAAUGUAGUCAUCAGUGACUCCCCAUUGAUGCAGUGGAGAUUAUCACAAGCUUUAGCUAAUACAGAAACCUCAACUCCGUCAUCUGACCAUGAAAAUCUCGUAGAUCAGGCAGAACAUUUAGAGCCACAGACCUUAUUGAAUACAUCUUUGCAUCCCGCAAAAGAAAGUCUAAAUGACACGCUGAAUGUACGACCCUCCAGUAAAGGUAGAAGUAAAGAGCGAUCUUUGGAAUGGGAUAUGACCAAAAUACUGGGAAGUCCCAUGCCACGUCGGAAAUUUGUGCAUGCCGAACGUCGUGGUGUCGAAGAUGCUAGAAUUAAAGACGUUUCGCCAACAAGUUCGAUAAAAAUGCUCAAUAAUCUUUCUUCCAACAGCAGUGAUUCCGAAGAACGUCGUAUAAUUGAAGAUUUCGAAAUGGAAAGACGUCAGGCUUUGAUACAGCGUGACAAAGAUUACCAAGAGUUAACGAAAAAAGAAAAAGAAAAUAAAACUAUACAGAAAGAAAAGAAAACAAACGAAAUUAAAGUCAGCAGUAGGAACAAUUCUAAAGGCAAUACUCCACUACCAACGCCGCGUAGCUCGCGCCGCGGCACACAAGAUAGCAUUAGCACACAAAGAGAGGGCACACCGCCAAACUUCAAGAAGCUUUCAAUUCCAUCAGAAUCUGAAGAUCUGCCCUCGCUCAGUUCUCGUUGUAGCUCAUUUGCACUUAUCGAGCUCAUGAGUAACGGGGAGGCGAGAGAAGCGCCGUUACCACAAAAGCUAAAAAUACCUACAAAACCGCAGCCCAUAAUUGUGCCAGAUAUUUCAGAACCCAUAGCCGAAGUAUUUCAAAAUCGGCCGUGGCCUAAGCCGGAGCUUUCACCAGAAAUUGAUACGAGCGAAUCUCCCGAUACAGUAAUUGAGAUCAAAUGCACGGAAACAGCACCAAAAUCACCAGUACCCGAGGUGUUUCGCAAUCGCAAAUGGCCUGAUGGCAACACGAUAUUUGAUGAAACGGAUGGGAAACACUCCGACGAUCAGGACUCGCUCAGAGAAAUCUCAAGGAAUAGAAAGAAAUUUAGAAAAUUACAAUCACACUCACCCCAAUCGAGUCGCCGACAUAGACUAACUGCCGAUGAGCUUAAUGAUCAUAAGUCCACUUCAAGGUCGAUCUCAGAUUUACGCAAUGAUUCGCCAAACACCAACUCGAUGUAUGAUUCUGAACACUCAUUCAAUCUUGGUGUACCUUCAUCUCGUUCGAGUGCCGAAAACUCCAUAUCGCAUACAUCGACCAGUGAAGCACCAAAGCGCCCGAUGCGACACAUACCAGUUGGCCAAACCUCUGAGCAAUCGAUAGAUGCCAGCACGCGCAUGUUGCUAGACCGUAGCAAACGCUUGCAUAAUCGUAAAAGUGAGUUCAUCAAUGAACGUGCCGCCGAACGAAAUCCCUAUUUACGUAAUACAGUCAGAACAGAGCGUCUGGAACGUGAGGCACUCGAGGCGGCAGAAGAUGAGCUAGAUUGUUAUCGGCCAAGUGGUUAUAGAGCCAAACAGCUGACACGUUUUCCAACAUCGCGAGCGCUCGGACGCGAGCGGCCGAUUAGUCAUUACAAUUACACACCUACCUAUAAUACAGACUACGGACUGAGCAAUAGACGCCUGUAUGGCACCGCAACAUUGCCUACAAGUACUUCUUCAUUGGACUAUAAUCCAUAUCUAAGCAGUGGCAGUCUGGGUUAUGGCAGUUCCAUUGGACGCAGCAUGCAUUUCAACGACUACCCCAAACGUAGUCCUUCGCGCCAUCGCGAGCGGGAACACUCCAAAGAAUCUAGAUUUUGGAGAUAUUAACAUGAUGAUUAAAACGUACAAAAACAAAAGGAAAGCGGAAAACCUCAAAAGAAAUUAACUCCGUAUACACACCUAUACUUUAUAUAGUCUACACACAUAUAUAAAUUGAGAAAAAAUAUUAAAAAUAUACAUGUAUACUAAUAAGAAAUUUAAAAAAAAAGUAAUUAUAUGAUAAACAUCAAACAAAAAAUACGAAUGGUGUGAAACCAACGCCAUAUUGAAUUCUACACGAAAUUACUACUCACAAUUAUCAAAAAUUAGAAAUAAAAAACGCACCAAAACAUUAAAACAUUAGCUAUUUUAAUUGAAAAACAUAAAAAACAUAAACAAAAAUAAACAACCAAAACAUCUGUCUAAAUGCCCGUACGUACGACCUCCCAACGACCAACCAACGUACCAAGCAACCAACAGCCACUCAACCAAAAACGUCUGCCUAACCGCCCGCCAGCUUGUUUACGCUCGGUGUGCCUAAAAAACAAACAAAAAAAUUUAAAAUGAAAAACAUCCUUGAAUGCGGUUAACAAAACUCUCUCCCACAUUUCAAAUUUUAAGACGGGAAGGAAUUGAGAAAGCUAAAAAAUUAUAAAGCGCUAAAGAGAGAAUUGAUUGAGUCAUAAUGCUCAACGGGUACGAUCUUUGAAGGUUCAAAGCGAAUCGGAGUCUUCUUCUCCCGAGGAGGUUGAGCUCAAUUCUGCCACGGAGAUAUCUACUGAUUCGGAAUUCGACCAUGACG